GAUGAACGCUAGCGGUGUGCCUUAAGCAUGCAAGUCGAGCGCUUGUGCUUCGCACAAGGAUAACGGAUUAACGCUGAUUUUUGGACGGAUUAGUGCAGAUUCAUCUGCAAAAAUCUGUUUUUGAUUAGCGGAAAUCAGUGUCCUCGUGCGAAGCGCGAGAGCGGCAGACGGCUGAGUAACACGUAGGUAGCUACCCUUUAGCGGGGGAUAGCCCGCCGAAAGGCGGAGUAAUCCCGCAUAAUCCCCGCCUUUGGCAGGGGAAAGAGCUUAACUGCUCACUGAAGGAGGCGCCUGCGGCCUAUCAGCUUGUUGGUAGGGUAAUGGCCUACCAAGGCAAAGCGGGUAGGGGCGUGAGAGCGUGGCCCCCAGAAUGGGACUGAGACACGGCCCAUACACCUACGGGUGGCAGCAACUGGGAAUCUUGCGCUAUGGGCGAAAGCCCGACGCAGCGACACCGCGUGAAGGAUGAAGGCCUUCGGGUUGUAAACUUCUGUUU
rnacentral:rRNA from 1 species